GCCGCCGUCCGGGGUAGGCUGCUCACCAUCCUCUGCUCGUUUACCUCAUGUGUGAUACACCAGUCACAAGUUGCUGCUGCUCAAUGAUGAUUUGAAAGUUCCUAAACAAUAAACAAAAC